CUGGCCUUACCACAUUGAAAACACCAGUUCUCGUCCAAUCACAAAAGUUAAGCAACGUCAGGCCUGGUCAGUAUUUGGGAGGGUGACAAGUUGUACCUU